GUGAUAAGAUCCGUAGUCGAAAGGGAAACAGCCCAGACCACCAGUUAAGGUCCCCAAAUAUAUGUUAAGUGGAAAAGGAUGUGGGGUUGCUUAGACAACCAGGAUGUUGGCUUAGAAGCAGCCACCAUUGAAAGAGUGCGUAAUAGCUCACUGGUCGAGUGACCCCGCGCCGAAAAUGUACCGGGGCUAAACAUAUUACCGAAACUGUGGAUGAACCUCAUUAGAGGUUCGUGGUAGGAGAGCGUUCUAAGGGCGGUGAAGUCAGACCGGAAGGACUGGUGGAGCGCUUAGAAGUGAGAAUGCCGGUAUGAGUAGCGAAAGAAGGGUGAGAAUCCCUUCCACCGAAUAUCUAAGGUUUCCUGAGGAAGGCUCGUCCGCUCAGGGUUAGUCGGGACCUAAGCCGAGGCCGAUAGGCGUAGGCGAUGGACAACAGGUAGAGAUUCCUGUACCAGUGCUAAUUGUUUAACCGAUGGGGUGACACAGAAGGAUAGGGAAUCGCACGAAUGGAAAUGUGCGUCCAAGCAGUGAGUGUGAGAAGUAGGCAAAUCCGCUUCUCGCGAAGCAUGAGCUGUGAUGGGGAAGGAAAUUAAGUACGGAAGUUCCUGAUUUCACGCUGUCAAGAAAAGCCUCUAGGAAGAGUAGUACUGCCCGUACCGCAAACCGACACAGGUAGAUGAGGAGAGAAUCCUAAGGUGAGCGAGAGAACUCUCGUUAAGGAACUCGGCAAAAUGACCCCGUAACUUCGGGAGAAGGGGUGCUCUAUUAGGGUGCAAGCCCGAGAGAGCCGCAGUGAAUAGGCCCAGGCGACUGUUUAGCAAAAACACAGGUCUCUGCAAAACCGUAAGGUGACGUAUAGGGGCUGACGCCUGCCCGGUGCUGGAAGGUUAAGAGGAGUGCUUAGCUUCGGCGAAGGUACGAAUUGAAGCCCCAGUAAACGGCGGCCGUAACUAUAACGGUCCUAAGGUAGCGAAAUUCCUUGUCGGGUAAGUUCCGACCCGCACGAAAGGCGCAACGAUCUGGGCACUGUCUCAACGAGAGACUCGGUGAAAUUAUAGUACCUGUGAAGAUGCAGGUUACCCGCGACAGGACGGAAAGACCCCGUGGAGCUUUACUGCAACCUGAUAUGGAAUGUUUGUACCGCUUGUACAGGAUAGGUAGGAGCCGAAGAGACGUGUGCGCUAGCAUACGAGGAGGCAAUGGUGGGAUACUACCCUGGCUGUAUGACCAUUCUAACCCGCCACGCUUAGCGCGUGGGGAGACAGUGUCAGGUGGGCAGUUUGACUGGGGCGGUCGCCUCCUAAAGAGUAACGGAGGCGCCCAAAGGUUCCCUCAGAAUGGAUGGAAAUCAUUCGCAGAGUGUAAAGGCACAAGGGAGCUUGACUGCGAGACUGACAAGUCGAGCAGGGACGAAAGUCGGGCUUAGUGAUCCGGUGGUUCCGCAUGGAAGGGCCAUCGCUCAACGGAUAAAAGCUACCCCGGGGAUAACAGGCUUAUCUCCCCCAAGAGUCCACAUCGACGGGGAGGUUUGGCACCUCGAUGUCGGCUCGUCGCAUCCUGGGGCUGUAGUCGGUCCCAAGGGUUGGGCUGUUCGCCCAUUAAAGCGGCACGCGAGCUGGGUUCAGAACGUCGUGAGACAGUUCGGUCCCUAUCCGUCGCGGGCGCAGGAAAUUUGAGAGGAGCUGUCCUUAGUACGAGAGGACCGGGAUGGACACACCGCUGGUGUACCAGUUGUUCCGCCAGGAGCAUCGCUGGGUAGCUAUGUGUGGCAGGGAUAAACGCUGAAAGCAUCUAAGCGUGAAGCCCCCCUCAAGAUGAGAUUUCCCAUUUCUUCGGAAAGUAAGAUCCCUGAAAGAUGAUCAGGUAGAUAGGUUUGGAGUGGAAGUGUAGCGAUACAUGGAGCGGACAAAUACUAAUCGAUCGAGGACUUAACCAA
rnacentral:rRNA from 1 species